UACUCGAGUGGCGAACGGGUGAGUAACACGUGGGUGAUCUGCCCUGCACUCUGGGAUAAGCCUGGGAAACUGGGUCUAAUACCGGAUAGGACCAUGCUUUAGUGUGUGUGGUGGAAAGGUUUUUCGGUGUAGGAUGAGCCCGCGGCCUAUCAGCUUGUUGGUGGGGUAAUGGCCUACCAAGGCGGCGACGGGUAGCCGGACUGAGAGGUUGGUCGGCCACAUUGGGACUGAGAUACGGCCCAG
rnacentral:rRNA from 1 species